rnacentral:rRNA from 1 species
GGUUCGAUUCUGGCUCAGAUUGAACGCUGGCGGGAUGCUUACAUGCAAGUCGAACGGCAGCACGGACUUCGGUCUGGUGGCGAGUGGCGAACGGGUGAGUAAUGUAUCGGAACGUGCCUAGUAGCGGGGGGAUAACUACGCGAAGCACACCGUAUACGCCCUCAAAAGCGGGGACCUUCGGGCCUCUCGCACUAUUAGAGCGGCCGAUAUCGGAUUAGCUAGUUGGUGGGGUAACGGCCUCGACCAAGGCGACGAUCCGUAGCUGGUUUGAGAGGACGACCAGCCACACUGGGACUGGAGACACGGCCUAGACUCCUACGGGAGGCAGCAGUGGGGAAUUUUGGACAAUGGGGGAAACCCUGAUCCAGCCAUCCCGCGUGCGAUGAAGGCCUUUAGUCAUGUAAAGCACUUUUGGCAGGAAAGAAACGGCACGAUAAUAAUUCCGUGCAACCGACGGUACCUGCAGAAUAAGCACCGGCUAACUACGUGCCAGCAGCCGCAGCAACAUAGGGUGCAAGCGUUAAUCGGAAUUACUGGGCGUAAAGCGUGCGCAGGCGGUUCGGAAAGAAAGAUGUGAAACCUGAGCUUAACUUUUGAACUGCAUUUUUAACUACCGAGCCAGAGUGUGUCAGAGGGAGGUGGAAUUCCGCGUGUAGCAGUGAAUUAUGUAGAUAUGCGGAGGAACACCGAUGGCGAAGGCAGCCUCCCUGGGAUAACACUGACGCUCAUGCACGAAAGUGCGGGGAGCAAACAGGGAUUAGAUACCCCGGUAGUCCCACGCCCCAAACGAUGUCAAUCUAGCUGUUGGGGAUUUCGGGCCUUGUAGCGCAGCUAACGCGUGAAGUUGGGACUGCACUGGGGGAGAGUACGGUCGCAAGAUUAAAACUCAAAGGAAUUGACGGACCCGUACGCGGCAUUGCGGAUUAAUUCGAUGCAACGCGAAAAACCUUACCUACUCCUUGACAUGUCUGGAAUCAGCGAUUUGGGGAUGCUCGCAAAGAGAAACCGGAACACAGGUGCUGCAUGGCUGUCGUCAGCUCGUGUCGUGAGAUGUUGGGUUAAGUCCUGCAACGAGCGCAACCCUUGUCAUUAGUUGCCAUGAAAGGGCACUUCUAAUGAGACUGCCGGUGACAAACCGGAGGAAGGUGGGAUGACGUCAAGUCCUCAUGGCCCUUAUAGUGGGUAGGGCUUCUCACACGUCAUACAACGGUCGGGACAGUGGUCGCCAACCCGCGAGGGGGAGCCAAUCCCAGAAACCCGAUCGUAGUCCGAUCGCAGUUCGCAACUCGACUGCGUGAAGUCGGAAUCACUAGUAAUCGCGGAUCAGCAUGUCGCGGUGAAUACGUUCCCGGGUCUUGUACACACCGCCCGUCACACCAUGGGAGUGGGUUUACCAGAAGUAGUUAGCCUAACCGUAAGGAGGGCGAUUACCACGGUAGGAUUCAUGACUGGGGUGAAGUCGUAACAAGGUAG